rnacentral:rRNA from 1 species
GAUGAACGCUGGCGGCGUGCCUAAUACAUGCAAGUCGAGCGAACAGACGAGGAGCUUGCUCCUCUGACGUUAGCGGCGGACGAGUGAGUAACACGUGGAUAACCUACCUAUAAGACUGGGAUAACUUCGGGAAACCGGAGCUAAUACCGGAUAAUAUAUUGAACCGCAUGGUUCAAUAGUGAAAGACGGUUUUGCUGUCACUUAUAGAUGGAUCCGCGCCGCAUUAGCUAGUUGGUAAGGUAACGGCUUACCAAGGCGACGAUGCGUAGCCGACCUGAGAGGGUGAUCGGCCACACUGGAACUGAGACACGGUCCAGACUCCUACGGGAGGCAGCAGUAGGGAAUCUUCCGCAAUGGGCGAAAGCCUGACGGAGCAACGCCGCGUGAGUGAUGAAGGUCUUCGGAUCGUAAAACUCUGUUAUUAGGGAAGAACAAAUGUGUAAGUAACUAUGCACGUCUUGACGGUACCUAAUCAGAAAGCCACGGCUAACUACGUG